rnacentral:rRNA from 1 species
GACGAACGCUGGCGGCGUGCCUAAUACAUGCAAGUAGAACGCUGAAGGAGGAGCUUGCUCUUCUGGAUGAGUUGCGAACGGGUGAGUAACGCGUAGGUAACCUGCCUGGUAGCGGGGGAUAACUAUUGGAAACGAUAGCUAAUACCGCAUAACAGUAGAUGUUGCAUGACAUUUGCUGAAAAGUUGCAAUUGCACCACUACCAGAUGGAGCUGCGUUGUAUUAGCUAGUUGGUGGGGUAACGGCUCACCAAGGCGACGAUACAUAGCCGGCCUGAGAGGGGGGUCGGCCACACUGGGACUGAGACACGGCCCAGACUCCUACGGGAGGGAGCAGUAGGGGAUCUUCGGCAAUGGACGGCAGUCUGACCGAGCAAAGCCGGGUGAGUGAAGAAGGUUUUCGGAUCGUAAAGGUCUGUUGUAAGGGAAGGAAGAGUGUGAGGGUGAAAAGUUCACACUGUGACGGUAUCUUACCAGAAAGGGACGGCUAACUACGUG